rnacentral:rRNA from 1 species
UACGUAGGUGGCAAGCGUUGUCCGGAUUUACUGGGCGUAAAGAGCACGCAGGCGGUUGUGCAAGUCGCGUGUGAAAGCCCCCGGCUCAACUGGGGAGGGUCACGCGAUACUGUUCGACUUGAAGGCAGGAGAGGGAAGUGGAAUUCCCGGUGUAGUGGUGAAAUGCGUAGAUAUCGGGAGGAACACCAGUGGCGAAGGCGACUUCCUGGCCUGUUCUUGACGCUGAGGCGCGAAAGCUAGGGGAGCAAACGGG